CUUGCAGACAUAUUGGAACUCUCCGAUAUCCUACCAAGGCAACAACCCAGUUCAAACUACAGGAUGGAUGGAAUGUCAAAUCUGCGUUUAUUGCCGGAGUAGGAAAACUGCCAAUAAGAAUCAAAUCGGUCGAUGGGGGUUUCUCACCCUAAAAACUGCCCAACGUACCCUAACCUAACCAUAAGUGGAAUCAUAUCAAUUAAAACAUUGUCUCGCACAUCUUUAAUGGGUGUCCACCCGACAGGUUGGAGGGCGUGCAACUAACUACUCACAAUUUGAUUCCAGCCAGAUAAAAUUAGCAACGGCAAAUGGCAGCCAAAGGCGAACAACCAAACAACAAAACAACCAACCACAAAGCAACGCAACUCAUAGAAGGCAACAUCAUUAUUAAGUAUUUGCUAUUGACUUCCGGUCGUUAGAUAUUUCAUUACCAACUUCAUGGGGUCGGAGAUGAAGCUGAAGUUGGGGCUUCUGUUUGCACAGAAAACCAAAAGUCAAAGAGCUUAAUUCUAUUAAAUUGCAAAUAUAGUUUGUGUCUGUUCCCAUGCUGUGUGCGAGUUCGAUAGGAAUUAAAUUGUUUAAAUAUAGUUCGAUUACAAACUGUAUUCAGCCACUGCAACGUCUUCGGUCUUCGUCUAUUUUCUACACCCUGCCCACAUUGCAAAUAAUGUUACUUCUUUUUAUCUUCAAUGUCCUUUGCAAUCCAGCUUCAGGUAGAAAUGACUUUGGCUUCGGGCUAAACAAGGCAACUUUGUGGAUUUUUCAACUAAUUUGAUUCAACUCCGAUUGAAGUUGAUUGCAACAGCUUUUUAGUUUAAUAAGUCGAACCAAGAAUAGUCGCUGACAAUCGAAUGUUGUGCAUUUAAUGCUUAAACCGUAAAUUAUGUCAAUAAUGGGGCGACAUAAAAAAGUUUAUGUAAAUACGAAGUCAAACUGAGGCAAAAUGUGACAAGUUCUUGGAAAAGUUGUGAACAUUAAAAAUAAAUUU